AUACGGAGGAUGCGAGCGUUAUCCGGAUUUAUUGGGUGUAAAGGGAGCGUAGACGGUUUGGCAAGUCUGAUGUGAAAGUUUGGGGCUCAACCUUAAAAUUGCAGUUGAUACUGGUUUCCUUGAGUACGGUACAGGUGGGCGGAAUUCGUGGUGUAGCGGUGAAAUGCUUAGAUAUCACGAAGAACUCCGAUCGCGAAGGCAGCUCACCGGGCCGGAACUGACACUGAUGCUCGAAAGUGCGGGUAUCAAACAGGAUUAGAUACCCUGGUAGUCCGCACAGUAAACGAUGAAUACUCGCUGUUUGCGAUACACUGUAAGCGGCCAAGCGAAAGCGUUAAGUAUUCCACCUGGGGAGUACGCCGGCAACGGUGAAACUCAAAGGAAUUGACGGGG
rnacentral:rRNA from 1 species